UCGGGAGGCAGCAGUAAGGAAUAUUGGGCAAUGGACGAAAGUCUGAUCCAGCCAUGCCGCGUGCAGGAUGACGGCCCUAUGGGUUGUAAACUGCUUUUAUACAGGAAGAAACACUCCCACGUGUGUGGGCUUGACGGUACUGUACGAAUAAGGAUCGGCUAACUCCGUGCCAGCAGCCGCGGUAAUACGGAGGAUCCAAGCGUUAUCCGGAAUUAUUGGGUUUAAAGGGUCCGCAGGCGGUCUAUUAAGUCAGAGGUGAAAUCUUGCAGCUCAACUGUAAAAUUGCCUUUGAUACUGGUAGACUUGAGUCAUUGUGAAGUGGUUAGAAUGUGUGGUGUAGCGGUGAAAUGCAUAGAUAUCACACAGAAUACCAAUUGCGAAGGCAGAUCACUAACAAUGUACUGACGCUCACGGACGAAAGCGUGGGGAGCGAACAGGAUUAGAUACCCUGGUAGUCCACGCCGUAAACGAUGGAUACUAACUGUUCGACCUUCGGGUUGAGUGGUUAAGCGAAAGUGAUAAGUAUCCCACCUGGGGAGUACGCUCGCAAGAGUGAAACUCAAAUGAAUUGACGG
rnacentral:rRNA from 1 species